GUGCCAGCAGCCGCGGUAAUACGGAGGGUGCAAGCGUUGUUCGGAAUUACUGGGCGUAAAGAGCGUGUAGGCGGUUAAUUAAGUCAGGUGUGAAAGCCCUUGGCUCAACCAAGGAAGUGCACCUGAAACUGGUUGACUUGAGUACGGGAGAGGAGAGUGGAAUUCCUGGUGUAGAGGUGAAAUUCGUAGAUAUCAGGAGGAACACCGGUGGCGAAGGCGACUCUCUGGACCGAUACUGACGCUGAGACGCGAAAGCGUGGGGAGCAAACAGGAUUAGAUACCCUGGUAGUCCACGCCGUAAACGAUGGGCACUAGGUGUAGAGGGUAUUGACCCCUUCUGUGCCGAAGCUAACGCAUUAAGUGCCCCGCCUGGGGAGUACGGUCGCAAGACUAAA
rnacentral:rRNA from 1 species